rnacentral:rRNA from 1 species
GCUAGUGGACAUAGGCGAAGUGAAAUACACGUUCCCACCCCGAACACGUUCGCUAAGCCUUCAGCCGUCGAUGGUAGUGCGGCUAUGCUACCAUGCGAGGGUGCCGUUCAUUUUUU